CACUGUUGCCUCACACCUCUGGGACCCGGGUUCAAAUCUCUGCCUGAGUCACAUGUGUGUGGAGUUUGCAUGUUCUCCCCAUGUUGUCGUGGGGUUUCCUCCAGGUACUCCAGUUUCCCCCCACAGUCCAAAAACAUGCUGAGGCUAAUUGGAGUUGCUAAAUUGCCCGUAGGUGUGCAUGUGUGUGUGAAUGGUGUGUGAGUUUGCCCUGCGAUGGGCUAGCCCCCCAUCCUGGGUUGUUCCCUGCCUUGUGCCCAUUGCCUCCGGGAUAGGCUCCGUACCCCCCACGACCCAGUAGGAUAAGCGGUUUGGAAAAUGGAUGGAUGGAUGGAUGGAUGAUAAACAAUUUUUAACAUAAUCUACACAGCAAAAAAAACUGAUGAUCCACAACACCAUUGACUUCUAGCUAAAUGUCAGAAAAUUGCACUAAAUGUUGAAAAAGUGGCAAGUAAAAAAAUGUUUGUUACCUUUACAAACUGCGCCCCAUAUUAAGUGUGCCAAAUAUUCAAGUUUUAAAUCAAAACCACAUAUAAAACAUAACAGUAACUCCUUGUCUUUCCUCUCCAUCAAAUGCCCCACACAUCACUGAUUGGACUACUUUUCGCUGUGAAUUCUGGGAUUUUGUGCGACGUCACGACCAUAGCUCACGUUUCUUACAACCAUAAGUAAAGUAUUGCUGUCUGUUCAAAAUCUUUAACAGUCUUUAACAUGUUUCUCUUGAAAAUGACUGUGUACCUCAGGAUAAUCAACCGACUCCUGCCAAAUGGGGCAGUCAGUGUCCCGGUUGCUUUGGCAGACACCCCUGGUUCCAUUGGCCAUGGUAAGGAUGGCAAGAUGAUGCUCAGACGAACUAAGCAUUUGAAGAAUUAAGGCCAGAAUAGGGCUGUCUGGUCUUGUUGAGUCUUGUGUUUGGUUAUAAUUAUCUUAUUUUGGAAGUGUAUGUCUUGGGAUAAUAAAUAAUGAAAAGGGAUGGAUGGAUUUUUUUAAUGUAAUAAAUCAAGUUGUAUUCUUGACAUACCCAGCAGAAUAGAACAGAGAUGCUUUAUUCAUCCUUGUGGGUAAGUUGUCUUUUAACCUACGCCAUCGUGCUCUCCAUGAGACACACUGUGUGUGUGAAUGGUAUGUGUGCCCUGUGCUGGGUUGGCGCCCCGUCCUGGGAAACUCCCUGCCUUGUGCCUAUUGCUUCUGGGCUCUGGACUCCCGUGAAACAGCACAGGACAAGUGGGUGUGAAAAAUCACAAUCAUCAGCUCAAUAUCUAAGGAAGAGUUUAUUACUGAUAACUGGAAAUGAUACAUAAUGUAUUUUGCUUUUUAAGUACAGUAACAAGCCUCACAAGGUGUCAGGUCAUACAUCUAAGUAUCUGGCACAAUUAAAUGUCAGUCGGUGUCAGAAAUUGGAUCAAGACAUUAAUCCACAAAGAAGAAGCCCUAGAAAGCUGGAUUCCAAAUAAUUAAAGCUAAUUUGUUUGAUAUUAGAA